CUGUCCUGCAGCUCCGCACAACAACAAACGCGCCUUACACAGGAGGAAGAGACGCCACAGAGAGAGAAAAACACAUUAACAUGUAGUUUUAUCAACAGACACCUCGAUAAAGUUACGAAUUUGUGGAUAAAACGACCCAAAAAGGACGAAGAAGACGUCGCGUGCUGAUUUUUUUCUGAGCAGACUUUGUGAAAGCAGCUGUCCCGGACUGUCCUCUCCACCGUCAACGUCUGGGAGAGACGAAGAGAGAAUGAAUAUCUGCUCGCCCUGUGAGUUCCUGGGAUGCUCGAGCGACCUGUGCCCCAUGCUUUUUUAAGAAGUUGAAGACAGGGUGUCAUUAACAGAGCGAGUGACCCCUCUGAGCUGCCACCAUGGCCCUGGUUCAGGCUCUGCCCAUCUCUGCUGAGCCCCACAACCCCGGCCUCAGUGGAGGACCCCGCAGGAGACACCCCUCCGGCUCCUCACCCCCCAUCAACGCACCGCCCUCCACUCUGGAUCCUAUGGGUUCUGUUAGCAGUCUCAUCGCCAAUCGCCCGGGCCCCUACCAGGAACACCGGCCUAUCAAUGAGCUGGGAGCCAGAGUCCGACGUCCCACACCAGGUGCCUCCUGCCUAGGCUCCGAGUCACCCCUUGACCCUUUGAUACUGCAGAACAUCCCGCCACUGAAGAAACAGAGCUCUGCGACGUCCAGCAGGGGGCUGGAGAAGGAGAGCGGGAACGGGAACUAUACUUAUCUGAAUGAGGACUAUGUAGGUGACUGGAAUGAAAACCAUGUAACACGUGUCAGUCCAGGAAGCGACGCAGACGAGACUAAAGGAUCGGGGUUAAAUGGGAACGUAGGCGGACCUCCUCCGAAACUGAUUCCUGUGUCAGGAAAACUUGAGAAGAACAUGGAGAAAACAGUGCUGCGGCCCACUGCCUUCAAACCUGUUGUUCCCAAGAGUCGUACCUCCAUGCAAUACCUCUCCCCUCGCCAUUGUGCCAACGCCUCAGAGAGCCAAAACAACCUGAACCUGCUGAGCCCCACACACAUUGAGGCGUCGCCCUCCUGCUCUGAGAAAAGCAGCUUGUACAGCAGGACUCGUAACAGCGGCGGCAGCCAACUGACUGACUCUGGACGCAACUCCCUCUCCAGCCUCCCACAGUACAGCAGCGCCGGCUACGGCCUACCAUCGGGAGAGGCCUCUGCUGGCCACCUGGAGCCCAUGAAAAGCGCUCCGCCAGUCAGUGGACACGGACACUCCAACUCAGACAGCGGGCGCUCGUCCUCCAGUAAGAGCACAGGCUCGGGCUCGAUAAGUGGCCGAGGACAGCCUCUGUCUGACAGCGGGUCCAGUGGGCGCUCCCCUGGCCCGGUGGAGGGUUACGAGGGGGUGGUGAGGGACCUAGAGGACAAGCUGAGGGAGAGAGAGCAGGAGCUGCAGCAACUCCGAGACAACCUGGAUGAGAAUGAAGCCGCUAUUUGUCAGGUUUAUGAGGAGAAACAGAAGCGCUUUGAGCUGGAGCUGGAGGAGCUGAGGCAGAGCUGCGCCACCAGGAUGCAGGUCGCCUCGCAGAAGGCCCAGCGUGCACAGCAGGUGCUUCAGCUGCAGGUUUAUCAGCUCCAGCAGGAGAAGAAGAAGCUGCAGGAGGACUUUGCUCAGCUUCUGAAGGAGCGGGAGCAGCUGGAGGAGCGCUGCACCUCCUAUGAGCACGAGAAGAUCCAGCUGGGGCCUCGACUGGAGGAGAGCAAGUGGGAGGUCUGUCAGAAGUCGGGGGAAAUCUCGCUGCUGAAGCAGCAGCUGAAGGAGGUGCAGGGAGAGUUGGCCCAGCGCGUAGGAGAGAUUGUGUCACUGCGAGGUCAACUCAGAGAGACUCGUGGCGAGCUGACAAACACCCAGGUCCUGCUCCAGGAGGCCCACGGCACGACCCGCACACGAACCCUGGAGCUGGAGGUGUGUGAAAACGAGCUUCAGCGGCGCAAGAGCGAAGCGGAGCUGCUCAGAGAAAAGGUAGGACGCCUGGAGGGAGAGUUGGUUCACCUCAGAGAGGCUUUGGCCAAUCAGGGCCCAGGAAACAGACAGUGUCAGGUGUUCCAGGACGCAGAGGAGCAUCUGCUGGCCUAUGAGAGCGACGAGGCGAAGGCCCAGCGGCAGAGCAGCAGCGAGGCGCUGCAGAACAUGAAGGUGCAGAUGGACAGGAUGAGGGCCGAGCUGGCCUUCGAGCGCCAGCGGGCCGAGCAGCAAACUGGAGGCUUCGAGGAGGAGCGCAGGAUAUGGCAGGAGGAGAAGGACAAAGUUAUCCGCUACCAGAAGCAGCUGCAGCAGAACUAUGUGCAGAUGUAUCGCAGGAACCGGGAGCUGGAGCAGCUCCUGCAGGAGCUCAGUCAGGAACUGGAGAGCAGGGAGGAGGACGAGGGCAGCGGCAACGAGAUCAACUUUGAUGAAAUCGCCGCCACAGAAAUUUGACUCCUGUGUCUCUUCGUCUUUUGAUUUGCACUACUGUUGGCUAAUUUUCUUUUUCACCCACAUCAUAUACAGGCAUUUGUGGGAGAAUUUGUUGUGUGUGAGUAACUGCUACCAACCUUUCACUCCUCCUCCUCCUGUGUCGGUGAUGACUCGACCUCUCACGCUGGGUUUAACACACACACUCCCACUCCGUGUUUGCAGUCAGCUCUCAUUAGUACAGAUAAUUUGGAUCGAGCCCACGCUUGUUGUCAACUAACGUGGGAUGCCACACGUUCAGCAUGUCAUGAUAAGAGCAAGUGAAUCAGAGCGAGAUGCUGCACUCUCAUCAUGACCAACAAGUAAAUAAUAUCUGAUUCCAAAUAUUCCAAAAUAUGUCUACAGCCUUCUAACAGGAUUAUCAUAUGUAGGAACAAAAAACUCUUAUUUUCUAAUCAUAUAUGACACAAAUGUGGGUUUUUUUCAUAUUAUUAGGUCCAGUUUGAGCAAAACAGCCUCCUUCAGUUGUACUCUCAUAUCCUGGACACUUUAAAUGUUGGUAAUAAUAUCAUGAACAUCUGUACAGUCUAAUGUAAUUAAACACAGUAACAUCUGGAUAGUAUACUACCUUUACACCUUACAUUCAGUGCAUGUCAGAUUUUCUCAAGCACACGCACAAAUGUCCUGGGCCACCUUUAAAACGAGAUUUAAAUCUUUUUUUAAAAAUCAAAAAUCGAGAUACAAGUAUACCGUAGACCCCUGAUUUGGAAUAUAAAUGUGAGAUGUUUUUAUCAUAUUGAUGUAAACAGUCGCAAAUCUAAUCUAUUCCCUUUAAGAAAACUUUGUGUUAUAUGUUUUUGAGACUAAAUAUAGUCUCUGUCAGGUACAGAGGUGCCAGACAAAAAGCCAAAUUGGGCUUGAAACUUUUUUUUUCCCCCUGAUGCAAUAACGUAGACAUUUUAACAGAGGCGAUGGCUCUGUGGGCUCUUAUUUGUGGAGUUUGCAUGUUCUCCCUAUUUUCCCCCACAGUGUGCCCAUAGAUGUGAAUGUAACAGGGAAUGGCUGUCUUUCUCUAUAUAUCAGUCCUGAUGAAUGGGAACCAGUCCAGGGUGUCCCAGAGGGUCAGCUGGGAGUUGAGAGUCCUCAGGAGGUAAGAGUCAGCUACAUUAUAAUUAGAUAUUAAAGGGAUAGCGCCAACGAUAAGAUGACAAAAUCUGUUAGGUUUGACCAAGAGCCUUAUAUCGCCCAUUUCUGCUGUUUUAACCUUUUAAAACCUGAGCAAAUUGGCUUGAUUUCUCUCAAAAACA